GCUUCUUAAUAAUGUUUCAAGUUAUCAAUUACUAAAAUUGUAAAUGUAUCUCAAUGUUAAUGUUCAAUACGAAUAUGAGUAUGAAUAACCCUUAAGUAUAAUAUGUAUAUUUAUUGCAUCAUUCUCAUACGACGUCUCUGAAAAAUUUAGUGAACAAAUUUUAUUUGCUUGUUAUUUGAAACCAGAAUCUUUCAAAAAUACGUAAAUAAAAAGUGAACAAUAUGUCUGCUGUUUAUCCAAUUUUACCUAAAUUGGUUGAACGAGAUGGUUUUGAUGAUGAAGAUUUAACAGAUAUUGAUGAUGAGGUAUUCAUUAGAGAUGGAAAAAAUGGCUUCAAAUUAGAUGAUGAUUUAGGAGUUAAACAGCCUUUAAUGGCACCUCGUAGAAGACGUAAAAGGUCAUAUAAUUUUGCGACAUAUGGAUUAUUAAAUAGGACUGGCUUUGGUCUUAUGGGAUUAAUAAUAUUGUUAGGCUUAAUUAUAUUAUGCAUAUAUGCCAUAAAUAUAAUUCCUGGACGAAUGUCAAUCUUGAAAACUUUGUUAUCACGUGAUCUUAAAGAUUCAUUACAUGAAUCUAACGAAGUACCAUGCACAUCUCUUGCAUCAAAGAUUUUAUGGACUAGAUCAUUUCCAAAAUUAACAUCUGAAUCACCGAUAAGAAGCAAUGAUGUUAAUGGUGAUGGAGUUGAAGAUAUUAUUAUUGGAUUUAGUACAGGACUGGAUAUGAUGGACAUUUCAGAAUAUAUUUGUGCAUUCUACUUUGAUGGACAAGUUCCAUGUUUUGGCGGAGUUCUAGCUUUAAAUGGAAAAACAGGAGAUACCCUUUGGGUACAUUGGACGACUCAUGCUAUUUUUUCAGUUGAUUGUGGUAUAGACUUAACAAAUGACAAAAUUAAAGAUUGUAUUAUAUGUGGUCGAGGUGGAAUACUUCAUGCAGUUAAUGGCUAUAAUGGAGCUAGUAUAUGGAAAACACCAGUUCGAGAUUUAUCAGUUUCAGAAGAAUGGAAACUCUCAGAUAUCUAUGAUGCUAAAUUUAUUGCUGAUGUUGAUGGAGAUGACAUUGGAGAUAUUAUUGCAUCACACACUAUACAAUCAAGAGAAAUUCAUUCAAGUGAAAUUCUUAUGAUAUCAGGAAUCAAUGGAAAUAUUAUACACAGUUCAGUUUUACCAGAUACAGAGCAAUUGUUUUUAGCACCUCAGAAAUUAGUCCAUCCAGAUGGAGAAAAUAUUUUUGUCGUUGUUACUAGUAGUAAAAAACAAUCGGGUGGAUUGUACGUAAUUUCUCAAGCGAAUUUAAUGUAUAAUAACUUGAAACUACAAAAACUUCACCAUAACACAGGAAAAGGAACUUUGCUACCUCCAAUUUUGGUAGAUGUAACAUUAGAUGGAAUUGAAGAUAUUGUUGCUGCUAUGUUUAACUCUACAAUAAUAGUUUAUAAUGGAUUAACUUUUGAACCUAUUUGGAAUUAUACAGUACCUAAUUCUGAAAUAAUAAGUAUACCGAUUCCUGGUUACUAUAAUGAUGAUAAUAUUCCAGACUUUAUGGUAAAACAUCAGAUAGGUUCGGGUUUUCCAACAUAUUACUACACAGUUGCAACAAUCAUAGAUGGAAAAACUGGCAAAUCUUUAUUAGAAAAACCAAUAGAAGAUAGUUUAAGUAGAGAAAUGUCUGGCCUAUCUGUUACCGUUGAAGGAUUUGGAAAUGAUUGGUUUUUAUAUUGGUCAGUUGAUUGUCUAAACUAUGAAGGAAUUAAAGAAAAUUAUCAGUUCUUAAGAAGUGAAGAUUUUAUAUCUGAAUCACGCGCUGAUGUUUGUAAACUACGGUUUAACUCUACUUUAAUUACAAAUUUAUAUGCUUUAAGCCAACAUGUUGGACCACCUGGUAUAUCAUUAUAUUUUUCUGAAGACUGGAAGUCAUUAGAAUAUAAUAAUUCUAUGAAUGUUAGAAUAGAAUUACCUGAAAAUACACCUUUUGUAUCUGAACGAUCGCCAAAAAUAUAUGAAGAUAAAAAUAAAAAAGAUAGUUCCAAACAAGAACAGGAAGAUUCUCAUGAAACUUACGAACAAUACACACAACAGAAAAAAUUUACUCCUAUUGGUAGACAAAAUAAUGUUUUGAAAAAUGAGAAUGAAUGGACUCAGAAUAUUAUACAAACAAGUAAAGAUUUUGAUUUGUUAUAUGAUGAGAAUAAUAAAAUUAACAUACAAAGAGAACAGCCAAUAGAUUACCAACAAGAAGAUGAAGUACGAGAACAAAGAAGCGACAAUAAUCUCAAAUUUACUAAUCAAUUUGAUAAGAGAAUAAAUAAUUCUAUGCGAAAAAAUAUGCGUAAUGAUGAAACGGACAUUACGAAUAGUAAGACAAGUACACAUGAAACCUCUCAUAACUUAGACAUUGAAAACAAUGCAAGUGAUGGAGAAACUAAAAUAUUAAGUAAAAGAACAAUUAAUUUGUUGCAUUAUGACGCAAAUAAAACAAAAGAAACAACUGAUCAAACUUUUAUAGAUGUAGAAACCUACACUCGUCAGAUUUUUAAUGUUGCACUAAAAGAAGAAGAAGAAGAAGAAGAAGCUGUUGCUAUAAAAAAAAUUCCUAAACAAAGAUCAUUGGAAGGUCAGAAUAAGAAAAAGGAUACUGGCAUAGAUUUAAAAUUAAAAUUAGAAUAUAAAUCUGGAUCAAAAUUAAAAAAACAAAAAGAAAAGCGGGAUAUAAAAGCUAACAAUCAAAUGUAUUCAGUACAUGGUAUACAAAAACAACCACCAACUGGAAUAUUAUUACCAUCUAUUUUAAAAACAGAAGGAAUAAGUUCUAUUGAUUUAGUAUUCUCUACAUUUUGGUUACCGUCUUCUGAGGCAUCUGUAAUAUUAGUUCAAGAAGAUUUUAAUUGUAUUCAUUGGAAAACAUUGCUUUCCGAAAAAAAUUUUCAGUAUAAACAAAAUGAUGAUAUUAUUAAAGAAUGUUUAGGUGAACGAGGUAUCAAUUAUAAAGCAAAUCUGGAAACGAGCAACAAAAAAGAUUUAAAAAUUUCCCUGGGACAAAUGACAAUAUAUAGGAUGAAAUUAGAAUGUAUGUGUCCAGAAGAUAUGUUACCCAAUCAAAGUUGCAAAAAUAUAUCUUUGCAUCAGAAUUGGCCUGAAUAUUUAGGUUCAGAUGGAAAUGGAUAUUUUAAAUCAUUUUAUAAAACAAAUUUUUAAAUAAGAUAGUUAUGUUUUCCAUAAAGAGCAUUAAAUCCAUUAAAAUAUUAAUACUAUUUUAUAUUUUAUUUUUUAAUAAUAAAUAUAUAUUUCUUUUUUAUAGGAAUAUAUAAAAUUUAUCAGAAAUAUUAGAUUUUAAACACUAACAUUAUAAACAGAAUUCAAUGAACUACAACUAUAUAUAUUAUUAUUUUUUUAAUAUAUAUUUAUUAUGUAAUAAAAGAAAUCAUUAUAUAUACAAGAUUGUAGUACCUACAAUGUGGUGCUAACAUUCUAAAGAUACGAUGUUAUUGCCUAACUGAUAUGUCACAUAAUGAUAUGUAAACCAUUUAUAUAAGUUAAAAAUCAAUAUUUUUAUACAUUAUGUUAUAAUUAAGAAAUGAGUGUGAGCACAUACAAUUGCUUUAUGUCUGAUACUUAUAGGAUAAUGGCUGGACAUAAUAAAUUAACCAAAAUUGAA